UACGAAGGGGGCUAGCGUUGCUCGGAAUCACGUGGGCGUAAAGGGUGCGUAGGCGGGUCUUUAAGUCAGGGGUGAAAUCCUGGAGCUCAACUCCAGAACUGCCUUUGAUACUGAAGAUCUUGAGUUCGGGAGAGGUGAGUGGAACUGCGAGUGUAGAGGUGAAAUUCGUAGAUAUUCGCAAGAACACCAGUGGCGAAGGCGGCUCACUGGCCCGAUACUGACGCUGAGGCGCGAAAGCGUGGGGAGCAAACAGGGAUUAAGAUA
rnacentral:rRNA from 1 species